UACGGAGGAUCUAAGCGUUAUCCGGAUUUAUUGGGUUUAAAGGGUGCGUAGGCGGCUUUUUAAGUCAGGGGUGAAAGACGGUGGCUCAACCAUCGCAGUGCCUUUGAUACUGAAGAGCUUGAAUACACCUGAGGUAGGCGGAAUGUGACAAGUAGCGGUGAAAUGCAUAGAUAUGUCACAGAACACCAAUUGCGAAGGCAGCUUACUAAAGUGUAAUUGACGCUGAGGCACGAAAGCGUGGGGAUCAAACAGG
rnacentral:rRNA from 1 species